CUAGAGCCUUUUCCCUAUAACAGUGAAAUCAACAAUGACUUGUGUCAGGAGAGAUCUUUAACUUAUUAUUUAUUACAAGAUAUUCUAAUGUUUAAAGAGCAAUCCAACAUAAAUGAAGAGAACAUAAGAAACGGCAUACACAAUACUGGACAUCACAGGACCCUCUCCGGCUGGAUACCAGACUGUGGAACCACCAGAUGCUUCAGAUGAGAAAGUACUUUGUAACCUAUCAAGUGUCAUCACAAGAGCUAUGAAAGUGAAGAGAGACAUAUGUUAUCUAAGAAUCUGAGAGAGAUGACUCAGUCAGCAUCCUCUCCCUUGGUGUACAAUGGUGGGGACAGCUACCAGCUACUGUGUCAUCUGGAGCAUGACAAUGAGAACACAGACACUGGAUCGUCCUGAUAUAGCCUGCAGUCCAUCUGGGCCUCCAGACAUUCAUUUGCAUUUGCAUUCAUGUGCAUCCCCUACUACUCCAACUCCUACACCUUUUGGCAGGAAAUAUCCACACAGCUGGAUUGGAUUCAUAAGAUGUUUUUAUUUUUUGCCUCAUUAAACUCUAGUUUCUCUCAAGCAAA